rnacentral:RNase_P_RNA from 1 species
CGAUGGCAGAUGAUCGCUGGUGAACCGGAAGGUUCGCUGGAGGAAAGUCCGAACACCAUACGGCAGCAUGCCGCGUAGAAUACGCGGGCAACGUUCGCGAAAGUGGGCGUUAACGGAGAGUGUCACAGAAAGCACACCGCCGGUUCUUUGAGAAAAGCGCAGGCAAGGGUGAAAAGGCGAGGUAAGAGCUCACCGCUCGCGGAGCAAUUUGCGAGGCACGAAAAACCCCAUGCGGUGCAAGACAAAACAGAGGAAGGGCAGCCGGCCCGAUUUAACCCUCGGGUAUGUCGCUAAGAUAAAUGAUCAUCGUCCCCAAGAAAUUCGGGAGACAGAAUUCGGCUUAUCGCCAUCGAAAA